AGAAUGGUUAGAAAUCUGUCGCAGAGUGUAAGGGCACAAGCGAGCUUUACUGCGAGACAGACAGGUCGAGCAGGGACGAAAGUCGGGCUUAGUGAUCCGGUGGUUCCGCAUGGAAGGGCCAUCGCUCAACGGAUAAAAGCUACCCUGGGGAUAACAGGCUUAUCUCCCCCAAGAGUCCACAUCGACGGGGAGGUUUGGCACCUCGAUGUCGGCUCAUCGCAUCCUGGGGCUGUAGUCGGUCCCAAGGGUUGGGCUGUUCGCCCAUUAAAGCGGUACGCGAGCUGGGUUCAGAACGUCGUGAGACAGUUCGGUCCCUAUCCGUCGCGGGCGUAGGAAAUUUGAGAGGACCUGUCCUUAGUACGAGAGGACCGGGAUGGACAUACCGCUGGUGUACCAGUUGUUCCGCCAGGAGCAUCGCUGGGUAGCUAUGUAUGGAUGAGAUAAACGCUGAAAGCAUCUAAGUGUGAAACUCGCCUCAAGAUGAGAUUUCCCAUUCCUUUGGAAGUAAGACCCCACAGAGAUGAUGUGGUAGAUAGGAUGGAAGUGGAAGUGCGGUGACGCAUGGAGCGGACCAUUACUAAUCGGUCGAGGACUUAACCAAG
rnacentral:rRNA from 2 species